AGUGAACGCUGGCGGUAGGCCUAACACAUGCAAGUCGAACGGCAGCACAGUAAGAGCUUGCUCUUACGGGUGGCGAGUGGCGGACGGGUGAGGAAUACAUCGGAAUCUACUUUUUCGUGGGGGAUAACGUAGGGAAACUUACGCUAAUACCGCAUACGACCUACGGGUGAAAGCAGGGGAUCUUCGGACCUUGCGCGAUUGAAUGAGCCGAUGUCGGAUUAGCUAGUUGGCGGGGUAAAGGCCCACCAAGGCGACGAUCCGUAGCUGGUCUGAGAGGAUGAUCAGCCACACUGGAACUGAGCCACGGUCCAGACUCCUACGGGAGGCAGCAGUGGGGAAUAUUGGACAAUGGUCGCGAGCCUGAUCCAGCCAUACCGCGUGGGUGAAGAAGGCCUUCGGGUUGUAAAGCCCUUUUGUUGGGAAAGAAAAGCAGCAGGUUAAUACCCCGCUGUUCUGACGGUACCCAAAGAAUAAGCACCGGCUAACUUCGUG
rnacentral:rRNA from 1 species